rnacentral:tRNA from 1 species
UUAGGUAGAUUUUAGGUAGAACUAUAGCCUUCCAAGCUAUCGAUGGGGAUGAGAGUCCCUUUACCUAUA